rnacentral:rRNA from 1 species
GAUGAACGCUGGCGGCGUGCUUAACACAUGCAAGUCGAACGGAAAGGCCCAAGCUUGCUUGGGUACUCGAGUGGCGAACGGGUGAGUAACACGUGGGUGAUCUGCCCCGCACUUCGGGAUAAGCCUGGGAAACUGGGUCUAAUACCGGGUAGGACCACAUUUUGGAUGGUGUGGUGGAAAGUUUUUCGGUGUGGGAUGAGCUCGCGGCCUAUCAGCUUGUUGGUGGGGUAAUGGCCUACCAAGGCGUCGACGGGUAGCCGGCCUGAGAGGGUGUACGGCCACAUUGGGACUGAGAUACGGCCCAGACUCCUACGGGAGGCAGCGGUGGGGAAUAUUGCACAAUGGGCGCAAGCCUGAUGCAGCGACGCCGCGUGGGGGAUGACGGCCUUCGGGUUGUAAACUCCUUUCGCUAGGGACGAAGCGUUAUGUGACGGUACCUGGAGAAGAAGCACCGGCUAACUACGUG